GUCUCUUGUUUACUCUCAGCCCAUUGUUCCCGGGGCUGCAGGACUACAUUCUCAGGGUGUGCAGAGGUGGUGAUACUGCACCUGCAGGAACUGGAAUGUCUCCUUAAUCUGGUCCAGGGGCUCCAGGAUAGUGAGCUUGAAGUGCUGCCCUGAAGCUUGGUGUCUGGUGUCAAUGGAAAAGAAGCAAAAUUCUGUCAAAUAAUUUAAAGAGGUUUAUUGUGAGCCAAAUUUCAGACCAUGGCCCAAGCAAUGCCCAAGAAGCCUUGAGAAAGUGGACUGGCCAUGGUUGGGUUACACUUCCAUUUUAUUCAUUUCAGGAAGACAAGGAUUAAAGUUGCACAAACUAUCUGGACAAAACAGGGCUGCUCCACAGAGGACAAUCCUGCAGGCACCCUCUUUUCCUCUGGCCUAGGGCAUGUCAUGGCUCCCUGCCCAGCAUGCAUGCACCUGGAACUGCAGGCCUGGCCAUUCAGGACCCCUCCUCCAAGCUACAUUCUUUCUUGGUCUCUUUUUUUCCUUCCUCUGAGUCUUUGAAAAGGGCACUCCAGCCCACUAUAGAGUUCUCUCGGUACUUCCGUGCCUGCAGGCUUCUGGUCACCAGGGACACCUAAGCUCACAGUAGGUAGCAUGGGUCCCACCCCACAUUGCUGCUUGGGGCUGGCCCAAUCACUUCCUGGAGGAUGUGGGUCACAGGUAACCCACUGAUGCUGUGAUUCCUGCUCUUGCAGCCCUGGCUCCCACAGGCUUCUAGUGCUGGUUGUAUUAACACCCAGAUGCAUACUUUGUUACCUACUUAACUAGUGCCCUCCCUGCUCUGCCCUGCAAGGGAUGAGGACAUCAGCCAGAAGCCAGACAAUAGCCUGUAUAAUUCACAAUAACUCAUCAGUACAGUGUAAGGAUGCAAUGAAAGAGUAUAAUAUAAAGUAAAUUUUUAAAAAUCAAAAUACAAUUACUCUU